UACGUAGGGCGCGAGCGUGUCCGGAAUUAUUGGGCGUAAAGAGCUCGUAGGCGGCCUGUUACGUCUGCUGUGAAAUCCCGGGGCUUAACCCCGGGCGUGCAGUGGAUACGGGCAGGCUGGAGGCAGACAGGGGAGAACGGAAUUCCCGGUGUAGCGGUGAAAUGCGCAGAUAUCGGGAGGAACACCGGUGGCGAAGGCGGUUCUCUGGGCCUGUACUGACGCUGAGGAGCGAAAGCGUGGGGAGCGAACAGG
rnacentral:rRNA from 1 species